rnacentral:rRNA from 1 species
ACUCCUACGGGAGGCAGCAGUGGGGAAUAUUGCACAAUGGGCGCAAGCCUGAUGCAGCCAUGCCGCGUGUGUGAAGAAGGCCUUCGGUUGUAAGCACUUUUCAGUUGUGAGGAAGGUGGUGUCGUUAAUAGCGGCAUCAUUUUGACGUUUAGCAACAGAAGAAGCACCGGCUAACUCCGUGCCAGCAGCCGCGGUAAUACGGAGGGUGCGAGCGUUAAUCGGAUUACUGGGCGUAAAGCGCAUGCAGGUGGUUUGUUAAGUCAGAUGUGAAAGCCCGGGGCUCAACCUCGGAACUGCAUUUGAAACUGGCAGACUAGAGUACUGUAGAGGGGGUAGAAUUUCAGGUGUAGCGGUG